rnacentral:lncRNA from 10 species
AACACCUCCCUUCAUUAGAAAUAAAAAUUGAGAUGUUCAAAGCAUCUUACAGGUCAAAGAGCUAAGCCAGAUCCUCACUCAAGCACUCAAGAGUUUUUUUUUUUUUUUUUUCCCGAGAAAAACUCUGGAGGAACAAACAACUUUGAACAUUUUCCCACUGAAGUCCUGGCGUUUUGGCGCUGACAGCGUUAACUUCUACACGGAAGCUGCCCCUCCGCCCUCCAGAAGGAAAGAGGACCCGUAUGGGAGCCGCAGAGAAGCACCUAGAACCCUGGGGCCUGAGGGCCGGCUGGAGGCAACACAGGGCUGGUAAGAACGAAUAUGACCUCGUGUUAAACUGGAAACGAGAAGGAGGGCAGAAUAUGGGUAGACAAGUCAGAACAGCUGCUCCCAUAGCCGCCAGAAGCCGUAGACUCUUCUGAACUGUGGGACCCAAGACUGCCGGGUACGCAGCGGGCACAGGACGGCAGGGGCACCUGCGCUGCCGCCUACCGCCCUGGAGGGCGCUUCAGGCCCAGAUCCCAGGGCAGCAGAGGGUGCGACAAGGCGUCCCAGCAGCCGCGGCCCUGCAGAUCCUUGGGGCACCUAGCCGGCAUCCCCUCCCCUGACCCGACGCCUUCUCUUUGUCCUGAAGGAUGGACUGCAAAGCUAUGUCCGGCGGUGUGGACGAAACUCAGUAAAAGGGGUUUCGGCAAGGGGAGACUCACCCGCCAUCUCCGUAGGAAGGUGGCUGGGGCUGUGUCCGCGCAGCCCAGUCCCGGCCUCCUCCUCCUCCCAGAGGGCUUCCAGGUCUGACCGAGGGUCGCUGGGACUCGAGAACUGGAGGCUCUGACUGGAACACUCCUGGGCGCACUCUGGCUCAGCCUGGACCCGGGCAGGCCCGUUUUCACCGGGGUGUCUACACUAGGGUCUCCCAAGGCAGCGAGGCGUCCGGGCGGGCGCCAGGGUGGCAGGGCCGAGUCUCCGGAGGUGGCCGCUCUGAAGGCCGAAUCUGGCCAGAAAAUCUGGCCAGAAAAAGGGACCACUGCGUCCUUGCGGCCUCCUUUCCACGUUAACCGGGGGCAGAGAACACCCAGGCCCUGCUGUGGGUGCCUAACGCGCUGGGGCGCAUAGGCCAAGCCAGUCCAACCAGGGUGUCCAGUCAGGGGCGCGCUGAGGCAGAAGGCUUUAGAGAUCGAGGGACAUGGGGGACCCCUGACGCCAGGUCUCCUUCUCGCUUCCGGGUCCGCACUCUGGGUCCGCAGUCCCUCAACCCACCAGGAGGCCAGAGAUGCGGCUGCGGUGGAUCCAGGGAGCUGGGGCCCAGAUCCACCAAGAUCAGGGAAGGUUCCUGAGGGCCCGCUGUCCCUCAGGGCCUGAAGAAAAUCCAUUCUCCGCGUGCUUGCGUUGGAGAACACAGUGGCCCCCACCGCCCGCCCUGAGACCUCCACAGGGUCCUGAUCCAGAACUUGACGACCGGACGCCAUCUCAUCUCUCCCCACAGAACCCCUGUCAGCCUGCCGGGGGACGCGGUGCCCGCCCUCCGGCAUCCGGGAAACACAGCGUCCCAGCCGGCGCCUGCGCAGGUGCCACACUUCCUGGUCCUCUCUGGCUGCGUCUGAGGGCCUUAGCUCUGGCCAGGGGCGCUGCAACGGGCUCAGCCUUCUAGGGGUGGCGGGUGAAGGCCUACACCUGCCCCAGGACGGCCAGGUCCACCAGCACCUGCAACAGACGGAGAACUGAAGGAGCAUCUUGAAGCUGUGGCUGUCUUGAAGGUGUCGCCGCUUGUCCUCACGAGCACCAUUUUGAUUCUCGUGCCCUGUGUGCAUGGGUGGCCAGCGUUGCUGGUAGGGCUCCUGCACGCUCAGAGUGGCCUUGGCCAGGAAGUCCAGGGUUUCCGCAGGCAGAGUGUAUGAACAAGGUACUGAGAAGAUCACAUACUGCAUGUCCUCCUAAAACCUGGUCCUGGCAUAACCUUCUAAGCUGUUUUAUUCAGGUGUUUAUGGAUUUUGUAUUUGCCCAUGUUUAAUGAGCUUUACAACACUUCCAUCAGAGAACAUCCUUGAGGAAUCAUCCUUUGUAGGGAUCAUGGAUGAAGCUGGAAACCAUCAUUCUGAGCAAACUAUUGCAAGGACAGAAAAC